GCUUGCUUCGGUAGGACAUAUACUAAAAUUGGAAUGAUACAGAGAAGAUUAUCACAGUCCCUGCGCUAGGAUGACAUGCAAAUCUGUGAAGUGUUCCAUAUUUUU